rnacentral:lncRNA from 10 species
GGGAGCUCCGCCCGGCUCCUGUGGAGGAAGCGGCGAGGGCGAGCCGCGGGGUCUCGGCGCCUCUGUAUGCUUGCACUUAACGAGAACCCAGAGCGAACACGACCCACAUUUCUCUUUUUGUUUUAAGAGGAAAUAUAGGAGUUACAGCAUAGAAUUACAAUAUCUGGACAUUAGAAAUAACAGGUCCCGGUCACGGUAUGGCACCGCGCGACACACUUGGUCCCUGAGGCCUGGAUGCCGCUCAGCAAACGUUCGCGGAAUAGGGUUGGGUUUACUGUCCCCCACCGAGCCGGUUGCUCAUUCAUUCAGCAUAAUUGAAUACCUCCUGUGUGCCAGGCACUGAAUCAAGUGUCGGAGACAAUGUCCUGCCCUCAAGCUCCUGGCCGGUUACUUGACAACCUUCCGGGACCUCAACGCUAUGUGCCUACUGUGUGAAAGCAAAGUGCCAGGUGGAGGACACAAAGAUGGCGAGCGACACAGGAUAGUCCUUAACAAUUAAGCGUGACUAAUUUUAAUAACAAAUGAGAAUAUGAUGUGACAUCCGUUCCAAAUCCUGUCGUUCCAAGUAACUUCUUAAGCAUCUUUCACGAUACAGCCUCUGCUUGAAAGGAAUUAAAACAGGUACAAGCAUGGAAGGAGACGUUGCUAUCAUAUUUCAAGAAUAAGAAAAUGCUGUUUUGUGUGGUUGUGCAGCAGGCAAUGAAAUGAGCUUACAUUCAAGCUUCCGUGUUUUACUGAAACAACAGUCACAGAUGCAGUAGAUGUUAAAGGUUGAAAGACGAGUGCAGUAAAAGCAUUAUGAGGACAAGAAGAAAACGUAAAUAUUUGUGUUGUUUCAUUCUUUGUUGUGGUGGCAGAAACAGCCCCCUCUUUCUAAGGUAACUCCAAUAUAAUGAUCUCUCCCAGCUUUGAAAUACUCCAUGUCUGUUUCAUUUUCCAGAAAUAUGGAAAAAUGAAUAUAUAAUAAAAAACCCUAUUUCAUCUUUAUGUGGAAAAGCACUUACUCUCUUCCCAGAGCACUGUUUUUAAAGUAGGUAUAUUUGCCAUAACCUAUGCUCGUCUCUACAAAAGGAUCACACCACCGUGUCCACCAUUAAAGGGGAAAUUCUUUAAUGGUGGACACAGUGGUGUCCCUGAAUCCUCAUCCUCAAGUGUUUCAAUCUUCCCAGUCUUGGGAAAACAACAAUGUUACUUCUUUCUUUUGCACCCUCUGUAGCUGUAAUCCUGUUUCCCCAUUCUCCAUAAAAGACUUACCUUAUUUUCAUAUAUCCUUAUUCUUAGCCUUUGACACUUUUUUUUUUGAGACAGAGUUUUGCUGUGUCACCCAGGCUGGAGUGCAAUGGUGUGAU